rnacentral:rRNA from 1 species
GCUCGAAAGAGAACCGUAACACAGGUGCUGCAUGGCUGUCGUCAGCUCGUGUCGUGAGAUGUUGGGUUAAGUCCCGCAACGAGCGCAACCCUUGCCAUUAGUUGCUACGAAAGGGCACUCUAAUGAGACUGCCGGUGACAAACCGGAGGAAGGUGGGGAUGACGUCAAGUCCUCAUGGCCCUUAUGGGUAGGGCUUCACACGUCAUACAAUGGUACAUACAGAGGGCCGCCAACCCGCGAGGGGGAGCUAAUCCCAGAAAGUGUAUCGUAGUCCGGAUUGUAGUCUGCAACUCGACUACAUGAAGUUGGAAUCGCUAGUAAUCGCGGAUCAGCAUGUCGCGGUGAAUACGUUCCCGGGCCUUGUACACACCGCCCGUCACACCAUGGGAGUGGGUUUUACCAGAAGUAGGUAGUCUAACCGCAAGGAGGGCGCUUACCACGGUAGUAUUCAUGACUGGGGUGAAGUCGUAACAAGGUAACCGUA